rnacentral:rRNA from 1 species
AUGCAUGCAAGUCGCACGCACCCCUCGGGGUGAGUGGCGCACGGCUGAGGAACACGUGGGAAUGUACCCCGAGGUGGGGGAUAACGGCGCGAAAGGGUCGCUAAUCCCGCAUACGGUCCCUGCAAAGGGAGGAAAGACGCAAGUCGCCUUGGGAGCAGCCCGCGGCCCAUCAGGUCGUUGGUGGGGUAACGGCCUACCAAGCCAAUGACGGGUAGCUGGUCUGAGAGGACAGACAGCCAGACUGGGACUGAGACACGGCCCAGACUCCUACGGGAGGCAGCAGCAAGGAAUUUUCGUCAAUGGGCGCAAGCCUGAACGAGCAACGCCGCGUGGGGGAUGACGGCCUUCGGGUUGUAAACCCCUUUUUGGGGGGACGAUAAUGACGGUACCCCCGGAAUAAGCCCCGGCUAACUCUGUGCCAGCAGCCGCGGUAAUACAGAGGGGGCAAGCGUUGUCCGGACUUACUGGGCGUAAAGCGCACGCAGGUGGCCGCGCAAGUGUUAUGUGAAAGCCCCGCGCUCAACGCGGGGAGGCCACGACAGACUGCGCAGCUCGAGGGAUGCAGAGGAUGGUGGAAUUGCCGGUGUAGUGGUGAAAUGCGUAGAGAUCGGCAGGAACACCAAGGCCGAAGGGAGCCAUCUGGGCAUCACCUGACACUCAUGUGCGACAGCGUGGGGAGCGAACCGGAUUAGAUACCCGGGUAGUCCACGCCGUAAACGAUGGAUGCUCGGCGUCCGUGGGGGAUACCCCGUGGGCGCCUCAGCUGACGCGGAAGCAUCCCGCCUGGGAACUACGAGCGCAAGCUUAAAACUCAAAUGAAUUGACGGAAGGGCGA